rnacentral:rRNA from 1 species
CCAAUAGAGUAUAUUAAAGUUGUUGCAGUUAAAAAGCUCGUAGUUGAAUUUCGGGGUUAGUAAGUUGGUCAUGCCUUCGGUAUGUACUGGCUUUACUGAUUCCUCCUUCUUGACGAACUGUGAUGUCAUUAAUUUGGUGUUGCGGGAAAUCAGGACUGUUACUUUGAAAAAAUUAGAGUGUUUAAAGCAGGCUAACGCUUGAAUACAUUAGCAUGGAAUAAUGAAAUAGGACGUUAAUCCUAUUUUGUUGGUUUCUAGGAUCGACGUAAUGAUUAAUAGGGAUAGUUGGGGGCAUUAGUAUUCAAUCGUCAGAGGUGAAAUUCUUGGAUUUAUUGAAGACUAACUACUGCGAAAGCAUUUGCCAAGGAUGUUUUCAUUAAUCAAAAAUGAAAGUUAGGGGAUCGAAGACGAUCAGAUACCGUCGUAGUCUUAACCAUAAACUAUGCCGACUAGGGAUCGGAUGAUGUUAUUUUUAAUGACUCAUUCAGCGCCUUACG